CUCGCCCUGUGGGAGCCCUAAGAAGCGGGGGGAAGAGAGGGUGCGUACAGGGAGGUGGUCGCAGCUUCCGGUAGCUGGCGGAGUUUCGGCUUUCCUCUUGAGGGGAUGUGGCUGGACCUGGGAGCCAGACCAGCACGAGCCUGAAUUGACACUUCCUCCACAUAUAUAACACUCAUUUUUAAAGUUGCCAAGUCAUAAGGGUAGUGAAAUUUAUUCAAACACUCCUGUAUUGAUGAGUAUUCAGGUUGCUUCCAGGGCAGGAGCGACCUUCCUUGAAGACGAAGACCUGGGAGCUGUUGCACGUGUCCUGGUUUCCAGCUUCCUCAUCAGUGCUGCAUUCUGGUGUCCUCCUGCUCAGGCUUAGGACCCCAAAACCGCUCCUAGGAACUGCAAGCCCACGUCGUACGCUGGGAUGAGCACUCCGCUGUGUGUUGACAGCCACUGGGGGGCGGAGCUUCCGGCUGAGCACUUCCGCUUCCUG